rnacentral:rRNA from 1 species
AGUGAACGCUGGCGGUAGGCCUAACACAUGCAAGUCGAAUGGCAGCACAGUAAGAGCUUGCUCUUACGGGUGGCGAGUGGCGGACGGGUGAGGAAUACAUCGGAAUCUACUUUUUCGUGGGGGAUAACGUAGGGAAACUUACGCUAAUACCGCAUACGACCUACGGGCGAAAGCAGGGGAUCUUCGGACCUUGCGCGAUUGAAUGAGCCGAUGUCGGAUUAGCUAGUUGGCGGGGUAAAGGCCCACCAAGGCGACGAUCCGUAGCUGGUCUGAGAGGAUGAUCAGCCACACUGGAACUGAGACACGGUCCAGACUCCUACGGGAGGCAGCAGUGGGGAAUAUUGGACAAUGGGCGCAAGCCUGAUCCAGCCAUACCGCGUGGGUGAAGAAGGCCUUCGGGUUGUAAAGCCCUUUUGUUGGGAAAGAAAAGCAGCAGGUUAAUACCCCGCUGUUCUGACGGUACCCAAAGAAUAAGCACCGGCUAACUUCGU